rnacentral:tRNA from 1 species
GGGGAUUUAGCUCAGUGGUAGAGCAUUUGCCUUGCAAGCACAAGGCCCUGGGUUCGGUCCCCAGCUCCG